GGAAAGUGAAGAACCUAGUGAAAGCUGCUAACUUAUCACUAUAGCGGUUUAAGUCCGUUUACAUUCCU
rnacentral:tRNA from 1 species